AUACGGAGGAUCCGAGCGUUAUCCGGAUUUAUUGGGUUUAAAGGGUGCGCAGGCGGGAGAUUAAGUCGGCGGUGAAAUUUUUCAGCUCAACUGUAAAAGUGCCUUCGAAACUGGUUUCCUUGAGUGUAGAUGAAGUAGGCGGAAUUUGUUGUGUAGCGGUGAAAUGCAUAGAUAUCACGAGGAACUCCGAUUGCGCAGGCAGCUUACUAAACUACUACUGACGCUCAGGCACGAAGGCGUGGGGAUCAAACAGGAUUAGAUACCCUGGUAGUCCACGCAGUAAACGGUGAUUACUAGCUGUUUGCGAUACAAUGUAAGCGGCUGAGCGAAAGCGUUAAGUAAUCCACCUGGGGAGUACGUUCGCAAGAAUGAAACUCAAAUGAAUUGACGGGG
rnacentral:rRNA from 1 species